rnacentral:rRNA from 1 species
AUUAGCGAUUGGGGUGAAGUCGUAACAAGGUAUCCGUACGGGAACGUGCGGAUGGAUCACCUCCUUUCUAAGGAGCAA